AAGCCAUGAUCAGUCAUGCAGCGUGUCUGAAGAAGAUCUUCGGAUUGUAAAGCACUUUAAGUUGGGAGGAAGGGUUGUAGAUUAAUACUCUGCAAUUUUGACGUUACCGACAGAAUAAGCACCGGCUAACUCUGUGCCAGCAGCCGCGGUAAA
rnacentral:rRNA from 1 species